rnacentral:rRNA from 1 species
UACGUAGGGCGCAAGCGUUGUCCGGAAUUAUUGGGCGUAAAGAGCUCGUAGGCGGUCUGUCGCGUCGGAUGUGAAAGCUCGAGGCUUAACCUCGGGUCUGCAUCCGAUACGGGCAGACUAGAGGCAGGUAGGGGAGAACGGAAUUCCCGGUGUAGCGGUGAAAUGCGCAGAUAUCGGGAGGAACACCGGUGGCGAAGGCGGUUCUCUGGGCCUGUACUGACGCUGAGGAGCGAAAGCGUGGGGAGCGAACAGG